ACCUAGGGUAGAGGUGCUGUGUCUAUUAGUACUUAUUUGGAGCAUGCAAGCGAGGAUAAAUAAGAAAAGGAGUUAUGGCCGAAGAAAAUAUAUUUGGUAAAAUUAUUUUCUGGUUUUACACAUAAUAUGUGUAGGGUUGUCACUAAUUUAUUAGUGGAGAGCUACAAGGUAC
rnacentral:ncRNA from 2 species